UCCUCCAUUCCCGUGCCACCGCCUCCCGCAGCCCGCUCGUUCCUCCCUCCUCCGACAAAACCCUAAGCUAUGGCGUGGCGCGGCGCCGCCUCGCGCUCCCUCCUCGCCGCCGUCCGUGGCCGCGCCUCCUCCUCCACUACCACCGCCGCCUCGCGCGUCCGCGCGGCCGCCCCAAUCCCCGCCGCCCCUCGCCGCCGCGUCCCCGCCUUCGCCUUCGCCACCGCAAGGCCGUUGGCGGCGAUGGCGGGGUCGCCGCCGGCGGUCGUGGCGAGGCUCACCGGGCACACGGCGGCGAGCGUGCGGGCGUGCUGUGAGCUCUCCCAGGGCCAAAAUGGAAAAGACGGUUGAUGAAGAGACCAGACAGAUUGAUUGGUACCCCAUUCCAUAAUAUGAUGAAAUGGCGAUGAUGCAUGAUGCUUGGGAAGCAGUUUUAAAGCAUGGCAAAGGUACUUAAUGUUAAUUGUUGCUAUCCUUCAAUGUGAGAGUACAAUUCUUGGAGUUUGCAUCUUUUGGAAGCUCAUUCGGCUGGCACGCUUUUCCUGCAUUCUGCAGAGUUCUUAGUACUAGGUCGUGUGUCUUAGACCAAUUGACGUUAUACUUGCUCCAACUUUUAUAUAAUGAAUAAUCACAUGCUAAUCAGCUACCAACUGUUCUGUGUGUUAUUGACAGUGUCCGAGUCAUUGGUCAGUUUCAUGGAACGAAGGUUUCAUUUUGCUUUGUUUUCAUGAUGCCCCAAUAUGUUAUAUCAACUUCCAUUGCGUGCU